rnacentral:rRNA from 1 species
UGCAGCAACGCCGCGUGAGGGAUGACGGCCUAUCGGGUUGUAAACCUCUUUUAGUAGGGAAGAAGCGAAAGUGACGGUACCUGCAGAAAAAGCACCGGCUAACUACGUGCCAGCAGCCGCGGUAAUACGUAGGGUGCAAGCGUUGUCCGGAAUUAUUGGGCGUAAAGAGCUCGUAGGCGGUUUGUCGCGUCUGCUGUGAAAUCUGGGGGCUCAACCCCCAGCCUGCAGUGGGUACGGGCAGACUAGAGUGCGGUAGGGGAGAUUGGAAUUCCUGGUGUAGCGGUGGAAUGCGCAGAUAUCAGGAGGAACACCGAUGGCGAAGGCAGAUCUCUGGGCCGUAACUGACGCUGAGGAGCGAAAGCAUGGGGAGCGAACAGGAUUAGAUACCCUGGUAGUCCAUGCCGUAAACGUUGGGAACUAGAUGUGGGGGCCAUUCCACGGUCUCCGUGUCGCAGCUAACGCAUUAAGUUCCCCGCCUGGGGAGUACGGCCGCAAGGCUAAAACUCAAAGGAAUUGACGGGGGCCCGCACAAGCGGCGGAGCAUGCGGAUUAAUUCGAUGCAACGCGAAGAACCUUACCAAGGCUUGACAUAUACCGGAAACGUCCAGAGAUGGUCGCCCCGC